UGGGGAAUAUUGCACAAUGGGGGAAACCCUGAUGCAGCAACGCCGCGUGAGUGAUGACGGCCUUCGGGUUGUAAAGCUCUGUCUUCAGGGACGAUAAUGACGGUACCUGAGGAGGAAGCCACGGCUAACUACGUGCCAGCAGCCGCGGUAAUACGUAGGUGGCGAGCGUUGUCCGGAUUUACUGGGCGUAAAGGGAGCGUAGGCGGACUUUUAAGUGAGAUGUGAAAUACCCGGGCUCAACUUGGGUGCUGCAUUUCAAACUGGAAGUCUAGAGUGCAGGAGAGGAGAAUGGAAUUCCUAGUGUAGCGGUGAAAUGCGUAGAUAUUAGGAGGAACACCAGUGGCGAAGGCGGCUUUCUGGACUGUAACUGACGCUGAGGCACGAAAGCGUGGGGAGCAAACA
rnacentral:rRNA from 1 species